rnacentral:rRNA from 1 species
UACGUAGGGUGCGAGCGUUGUCCGGAAUUACUGGGCGUAAAGCGUGCGCAGGCGGCCUUCCAAGUCAGGGGUGAAAGCCCAGAGCUCAACUCUGGAAUUGCCUUUGAGACUGUGAGGCUUGAGUACGGGAGAGGUGAGUGGAAUUCCCAGUGUAGAGGUGAAAUUCGUAGAUAUUGGGAAGAACACCGGUGGCGAAGGCGGCUCACUGGCCCGAAACUGACGCUCAUGCACGACAGCGUGGGGAUCAAACAGG